rnacentral:misc_RNA from 1 species
GAUGAAGAACGCAGCAAAAUGCGAUACGUAAUGCGAAUUGCAGAAUUCAGUGAAUCAUCAAAUCUUUGAACGCAAAUUGCGCUCUCGGGAUAGGCCUGAGAGCACGCCUCUUUGAGCAUCGAUUCUACCACAAGUCGACGACGUCCUUGCAAAAGGAUGUGCAGUCGGACAUUGAGCCUUGCCGGCCGUUCGCGGCUAAGCUGGCUUCAAAUAGAGCGAGAUACACAGCGAUCCUUCUGACACAUCAGGAGUGAUUUGUGACGUGGAUAACUUCACUACUCGUGAACCUUCCAAUACGUGACAGUCUCUCAUUCAACUGGUGUGCCAGUGGAAAGCAACGUGUGUUGGAUCGUCAUUCGUGACAACUCUUUUGAAUUAGAUCUCAAAUGAAGCGAGAAAACCCGCUGAACUUAAGCAUAUCAAUAAGCGGAGGA